rnacentral:lncRNA from 1 species
AACAAUCGAUUGUUUAAUAACUUAGAUGUUUUCAGAAAGGUUGAAAAUUGUUUUUGAUGGUUGACUUGCUGUCAAACCAAAACAAUCGAUUGAUUCGUGGAAACAACCGAUUGAUUCGUGGAAACAACCGAUUGUUUGUUUUGGGACCAUAACAUAAAACUGUUUUGUGCUUUGACUGAGCAUUGAAUGAUUUUCUAACUUUUUACGCUCCAGUUUUUAAUGCUUUGAC